rnacentral:rRNA from 1 species
UGGGACCGUAACGGUAGUAGGUCAGCGCGGGAGUGACGCAGAAGGGUAGCCGGCCGCGGAGGUGGUCUUCCGUGGUCAAGCACGCAGGGCGUGGGACAGGCAAAUCCGUCCCGCAUGGGUCCGAGGUGCGAUGAUGGGGGCCUUAUGGCCCGAUAUCCGGUGAUCCCGGCUGCCGAGAAAAGCUUCGGCGUGAGGCGGCGUGCCGCCCGUACCCCAAACCGACACUGGUGGUCAGGUAGAGAAUACCAAAGCGAUCGAGCGAAUCCUGGUCAAGGAACUCGGCAAAUUGCUCCCGUGCCUUCGGCAUAAGGGAGACCCCCUGCGGUGAUGAGCGGCGGGGGGUGGCACAGGCCAGGGGGUAGCGACUGUUUACCAAAAACACAGGAGCGUGCGAAGGCGCAAGCCGCUGUAUACGCUCUGACGCCUGCCCGGUGCCGGAAGGUUAAGAGGAUCCGUCAGCUUUCUGCGAAGCGGUGAAUUCAAGCCCCGGUAAACGGCGGUGGUAACUAUAACCAUCCUAAGGUAGCGAAAUUCCUUGUCGGGUAAGUUCCGACCUGCACGAAUGGCGUAACGACUUCCCCACUGUCUCGACCAGGAGCUCGGCGAAAUUGCAGUACGAGUAAAGAUGCUCGUUAAGCGCAGAAGGACGAAAAGACCCCGGGACCUUUACUAUACCUUGGUAUUGGCAUUAGGCGCGGAUUGUGUAGCAUAGGCGGGAGGCCGAGAGGCGCGGUCGCCAGAUCGCGCGGAGCCGUAAGGUGAAAUACCGCUCUGUUCGCAUUGGAUGUCUAACCUCGAACAGUCAUCCUGUUCAGGGACAGUGCCUGGCGGGUAGUUUAACUGGGGCGGUUGCCUCCCAAAGAGUAACGGAGGCGCUCAAAGGUCCGCUCGGCCCGGUUGGCAAUCGGGUGUCGAGUGUAAUCGCACAAGCGGGCUUGACUGCGAGAUCGACGGAUCGAGCAGGGACGAAAGUCGGAGAUAGUGAUCCGGUGCCGGCGCACGGGCGCGGCAUCGCUCAACGGAUAAAAGGUACCCCGGGGAUAACAGGCUGAUCAUUCCCAAGAGUCCAUAUCGACGGGAUGGUUUGGCACCUCGAUGUCGGCUCGUCGCAUCCUGGGGCUGGAGCAGGUCCCAAGGGUUCGGCUGUUCGCCGAUCAAAGCGGCACGCGAGCUGGGUUCAGAACGUCGUGAGACAGUUUGGUCUCUAUCCUCUGCGCUCGUUGGAAUCUUGAGGAGGCCUGCCCAUAGUACGAGAGGACCUGGGUGGACGAACCUCUGGUAUGCCGGUUGUCACGCCAGUGGCACGGCCGGUUGGCUACGUUCGGAAGGGAUAACCGCUGAAAGCAUCUAAGCGGGAAGCCUUCUCCAAGAUAAGGAUUCCAUGCGGCCCCGAGCCGCUGAAGACCCCAUGCAGAACACGUGGUCGAUAGGCCGGA